CAGUAGCCGCGGGAAUACGUAGGGCGCAAGCGUUGUCCGGAAUUAUUGGGCGUAAAGAGCUCGUAGGCGGUCUGUCGCGUCUGGUGUGAAAUCCCGAGGCUCAACCUCGGGCUUGCAUCGGGUACGGGCAGACUAGAGUGCGGUAGGGGAGACUGGAAUUCCUGGUGUAGCGGUGGAAUGCGCAGAUAUCAGGAGGAACACCGAUGGCGAAGGCAGGUCUCUGGGCCGCAACUGACGCUGAGGAGCGAAAGCAUGGGGAGCGAACAGGAUUAGAUACCCCAGUAGUCCCUGUCUCUUAUCA
rnacentral:rRNA from 1 species